CCUACGGGUGGCAGCAGUGAGGAAUUUUGCGCAAUGGCCGCAAGGCUGACGCAGCAACGCCGCGUGGGUGAUGAAGGCCUUCGGGUCGUAAAGCCCUGUCAGGUGGGAAGAAAGGUUUCAAGGAGAAACACUUGGGAUUUUACGGUACCACCAGAGGAAGCACCGGCUAACUCCGUGCCAGCAGCCGCGGUUAUACGGAGGGUGCGAGCGUUACGCGGAAUUACUGGGCGUAGAGAGCGAGUUCGGAUGUGAAAGCCCUGGGCUUAACCUGGGAAGUGCAUUGGAAACUGCAUGUCUUGAGUACUGGAGAGGAAGGGGGAAUUCCCGGUGUAGCGGUGAAAUUCGUAGAGAUCGGGAGGAAUACCAGUGGCGUAGGCGCCCUUCUGGACGGUUACUGACGCUGAGACGCGAAAGCGUGGGGAGCAAACAGGAUUAGAUACCCCAGUAGUC
rnacentral:rRNA from 1 species